UACGUAGGGGGCAAGCGUUGUCCGGAAUCAUUGGGCGUAAAGAGCGUGUAGGCGGCUCGGUAAGUCCGCUGUGAAAGUCCAGGGCUCAACCCUGGAAUGCCGGUGGAAACUGUCGAGCUCGAGUCCGGAAGAGGCGAGUGGAAUUCCUGGUGUAGCGGUGAAAUGCGCAGAUAUCAGGAGGAACACCAAUGGCGAAGGCAGCUCGCUGGGACGGUACUGACGCUGAGGAGCGAAAGUGUGGGGAGCGAACAGG
rnacentral:rRNA from 1 species